UACGGAGGGGACUAGCGUUGUUCGGAAUUACUGGGCGUAAAGCGCACGUAGGCGGAUUUGUAAGUCAGGGGUGAAAUCCCGGGGCUCAACCUCGGAACUGCCUUUGAUACUGCAAAUCUCGAGUCCGGGAGAGGGAUGCAGAAUUCCAGGUGUAGCGGUGAAAUGCGUAGAUAUCUGGAGGAAUACCGGUGGCGAAGGCGGCAUCCUGGACCGGCAUUGACGCUGAGGAGCGAAAGCUAGGGGAGCAAACGGG
rnacentral:rRNA from 1 species